UUCCUCAAUACUGAGGGUGGUGACCACUUC
rnacentral:sRNA from 1 species